CAGAAAACUAAGUUUGGAGGGCAAACUGCCAUACGAAAAUGUGGAAAGACAGAUGAAUCUGCAGAGUCAAAGACAAGAUCUGCUUACCUGGAGCAGAAGCCAUAAACUGAGAAACUGGACUUCAACAGAAAGGGAGAAAUAAAGACUAUCCCAGGCUCUGAAAGACAUACGAAAGUAACUUCUUCAGGGAGAAGGAAAAUCAUAUAGAAUUUUAUUUACCAUGUGGUUCUGGAUUAGAAUCUAAUGAUAGAAAUGCUUUGUAGAUAUCUGAAAAAUGAAAAAGAAAGACAUGUUAUUUUCUGGAGAUGGGGAGACAAGUGAACAGAUGUGGAGUUUACUGAAGCUUCAAAGAGUAAUUCAAUCCAGAUUGUGAAGAAGUCUUAGUGCCAAUUGCUCUGGCAGCCAUGUUAUGACCAUGAGACAAUCAGCCAUAGAAAGAAAUAUUCUGCAUGAUAGUUUAGAAAGAAGCAGGACAGAAACUUCUAGAGUUACACUGAUUAAUGACUGAAUCUGUGAAUCCUGAUGUCUGUCCUAACUUUGG
rnacentral:lncRNA from 1 species